rnacentral:misc_RNA from 1 species
GCCGGAGAUCAUGACGGCGGGCCAGGCGUUGGCGGCUGCGUUGGAGAGGCCGGCGAGGCCGUGGACGCAGCCGGGGCCGGAGACGGUGAGGAAGACGCCGGGGCGGCCGGUGAGGAAGCCGUAGGCGGUGGCAGCGUAGCCGGCGGACUGCUCGUUGUGGAAAGCGAGGAAGCGGACACCGAGGGCGACGGCGCGGGUGGCGAGGGAGGUGACAGGGAUGCCAACGACGCCGAACAUGUGCUUGACGCCGGCGCGGGAGAGGGCACGAGCGGCGAGGGAGUUGCCAUCGAUGAGAUCCGCCGCCAUGGUGUGAGGGUGCUGGGCGCCGCCGGCGGUGGUAAAGACUCGAGCUUUGGGGGUGGAGCUUGAAAGUGGG